rnacentral:rRNA from 1 species
AUAUCAAUAAGCGGAGGAAAAGAAACUAACAAGGAUUCCCCUAGUAACUGCGAGUGAAGCGGGAAAAGCUCAAAUUUAAAAUCUGGCAGUCUUUUUUUGACUGUCCGAAUUGUAGUCUGGAGAAGUGCUUUCCGCGCUGGACCGUGUACAAGUCUCUUGGAACAGAGCGUCAUAGAGGGUGAGAAUCCCGUCUUUGACACGGACAAUCAGUGCUUUGUGAUGUGCUCUCAAAGAGUCGAGUUGUUUGGGAAUGCAGCUCAAAAUGGGUGGUAAAUUCCAUCUAAAGCUAAAUAUUGGCGAGAGACCGAUAGCGAACAAGUACCGUGAGGGAAAGAUGAAAAGCACUUUGGAAAGAGAGUUAAACAGUACGUGAAAUUGCUGAAAGGGAAACGCUUGAAGUCAGUCGCGUUGGCCAGAACUCAGCCUUGCUUUUUUGCUUGGUGCACUUUCUGGUUGACGGGCCAGCAUCAAUUUUGACUGCUGGAUAAAGGUUGGGGGAAUGUGGCACCUUAGGGUGUGUUAUAGCCCUCAGUCCGCAUACAGUGGUUGGGAUUGAGGAUCUCAGUACGCCUUUAAGGCAAGGGGCUUUAACUUCCCUAUGCUCGUGCUUAGGAUGC